GUGGAUGAGGCAUGCAAGUCGAACGAAGUUGUAGCAAUACAACUUAGUGGCGGACGGGUUAGUAAUACAUGGGUAACCUGCCUUUAACUUGGGAAUAACGGUUGGAAACGACCGCUAAUACCUGAUGUGGUGGUGGCAAGGGAUCUUGCCUUUAUUAAAGCGGGGGAUCGUAAGACCUCGCGGUUGAAGAGGGGCCCAUGGGAUAUCAGCUAGUUGGAGUGGUAAUGGCACACCAAGGCUAAGACGUCUAGGCGGAUUGAGAGAUUG
rnacentral:rRNA from 1 species